rnacentral:rRNA from 1 species
ACUGCCAGUGAUAAACUGGAGGAAGGUGGGGAUGACGUCAAGUCAUCAUGGCCCUUACGACCAGGGCUACACACGUGCUACAAUGGCGCAUACAAAGAGAAGCGACCUCGCGAGAGCAAGCGGACCUCAUAAAGUGCGUCGUAGUCCGGAUUGGAGUCUGCAACUCGACUCCAUGAAGUCGGAAUCGCUAGUAAUCGUGGAUCAGAAUGCCACGGUGAAUACGUUCCCGGGCCUUGUACACACCGCCCGUCACACCAUGGGAGUGGGUUGCAAAAGAAGUAGGUAGCUUAACCUUCGGGAGGGCGCUUACCACUUUGUGAUUCAUGACUGGGGUGAAGUCGUAACAAGGUAACCGUAGGGGAACCUGCGGUUGGAUCACCUCCUUACCUGAAAGAA